rnacentral:rRNA from 1 species
AUUGAACGCUGGCGGAAUGCUUUACACAUGCAAGUCGAGCGGCAGCACGGACUUCGGUCUGGUGGCGAGUGGCGAACGGGUGAGUAAUGUAUCGGAACGUGCCCAGUCGUGGGGGAUAACGUAGUGAAAAUUACGCUAAUACCGCAUACGAUCUAUGGAUGAAAGCGGGGGAUCGCAAGACCUCGCACGAUUGGAGCGGCCGAUAUCAGAUUAGGUAGUUGGUGGGGUAAAGGCCCACCAAGCCAACGAUCUGUAGCUGGUCUGAGAGGACGACCAGCCACACUGGAACUGAGACACGGUCCAGACUCCUGCGGGAGGCAGCAGUGGGGAAUUUUGGACAAUGGGCGAAAGCCUGAUCCAGCCAUUCCGCGUGCAGGAUGAAGGCCCUCGGGUUGUAAACUGCUUUUGUACAGAACGAAAAGGUUUCUACUAAUACUAGGAGCUCAUGACGGUACUGUAAGAAUAAGCACCGGCUAACUACGUGCCAGCCGCCGCCGUAA